ensembl:lncRNA
GUAUUUCACUAUGUUUAAGAAAGUGAUUAAUGCGAAUUAAAAUAAAAAAUUUGUCAUUUUAUUAAUUAGCAAAAAAUGCUCUCCUAACUAAUUAAACAACAUUAGCAAAAAAAAAAAAAAAAAAAAAAAAAAAAAAAAAAAAAAAAAAAAAAAACGAACAAAAAAAACAAUAACCAUAACCGCAGCCAAAACCACACAACUACACAAUCAUAACCACAACAAAUAAUAACAGACAUGACUAGUAUAAAAUACGUUGGUCAUUCACAUAAAAAAGAUGAGUUAAAAAAUAAACUUGUCAACAACGAAUUUUAUCAUAAUGACAUUUUUCUUUAUGAUAAACAUAUAAAUUUAGAAAAAGAAAAAAAGAAUCAAAUUAAAAUGGGUAACUCGAAUAAUCACAACUUUCAAUCUGAAGAACAAAAUAAAAAUAUGUACAAUAAAUCAGAAGAACAUAAAGAAAAAAAAGAAACUAAAAAACAAGAUAAAAAUUGUGAUAAAAUUAAAGAUGGAAAAAAGGAAAAUAAUAGAGAAAAAAAUAAGCACAAGGAUACUAUUCUGAAAAAUGUUUAUAAUAAUAAAUUAAGUGAAAAUAAAAAUACAGAUACAAAUACUUUACUACUCAAUAAUACAGAUGAUAAUGCAGAUGGUAAUACAAUUGGUAAUGCAAAUAGUAAUGCAAGUAGUAAUGCAGAUGGUAAUAACAAUAGUAACGCUAGUAAUAGUACAGAUGCUGAAAUCAUAGAAAAAACUAUAAAUAUGCAAUCAUGUACCGAAAACUUACAUGCUUCAAACAGAACAUUAAAUAAUGACAAUAAUGAUAGGAUUUUAAUUGUAAAACAAUAUAAUAUAGAAAAAGAAAACAAAACGGGUAGUAAUAACAAAUGCACAAAUAAUAUUAACACAUAUAGUGUAAGUAACAUAAAUAAAGAAAAGGGAGAAAAAUAUAAUAAUGAUAAUAGCAGUAGUAAUAGCAGUAGUAAUAGCAGUAAUAAUAGAAGUAGUAAUAGUAGUAGUAAUAGAAGUAGUAAUAGCAGUAGUAAUAGCAGUAGUAAUAGCAGAAGUGACAAUAGCAAAAGAAAACCAAAAAAUACAAGAAAAAAAAUGUAGGAAUAAACAAACAGACAGUAGCGACA